CAGCUGAGAGGCGGGAGAAAAGGAGCUCUUGGCAGCUUGUCUGCUCCCUCGAUUGCCGGCCAGGAGAACAAGCUGGAGAGACGGCGAACAGGGCAAGUGGCUGAGGAGCCUUGGGGCUGGGCAGGGGGCAAUGGGGAGUCACAUGAGGUGCCUCUGGGGUGCCCCUCCAGGCAGUGGGGCCCCCAGACAACUGUCUCCCCUUGCCCUAUCAUUGUUACGCGCCUGUGGGUGACUCUGGGCCAGUCACUUAUCUCUCAGUCUAACCUACUCCACAGGGUUGCUGUGAGGAGAAACGCCUACCACCUCUUUGAUCUUGGAAAGCAAUGCUAGCCACCCACAGAAUCUCACCUUAUUACUCUGUAAUGCCAGUUAAUAGCUCACGGUAGUGCUGAUUGAAAGAAAGUUUAAGGCUGUGAAGAUAGUGUUGGAAUUCACCACCCAGCAGAAGCUCCUUCACAAUGAGGUAAAGUUGUUCAAUUACUUAUAGAGGAUACGUGAUUACUCUGCAACACAGCCUGACUAGAUCCAUCCUCGAACACUAGAAGAAGAGGAAGAACUAUUAAAUGGCAUGCAACUCUCUUAAAGGGACAGUAACAUGUACUACACAUAACCCAGAAUCCAACCAACACAAAAAGAUAUUUUAAAAGUGAUGUGAGAGAAGGAAAGAAGUGAAAAUGAGGCAAGCAAGUACAAAAAGUACACAAAAGUGGAAAGAUUUACAGUUCCAAAAGCUCCAGAAAUUCAGACUAGAUAUACUAUUAUCUUUAGUACUAGCAUCAUGGCUAUUAAAUGUUAUUCGUUCUAGCAAAUGACUGGGUUUUUUAAAUAAAAAAGUUAA